rnacentral:rRNA from 1 species
AAUCAACGCUGGCGGCGUGCCUAACACAUGCAAGUCGAACGCGAAAGUCCCGCAAGGGAUUAGUAGAGUGGCAAACGGGUGAGUAACACGUGGGUGACCUGCCUUCGAGCGGGGGAUAACGUCCCGAAAGGGACGCUAAUACCGCAUAACAUCCUGUCUUUUAAGAGAUGGUGAUCAAAGCCGGGGAUUCGCAAGAACCUGGCACUUGAAGAGGGGCCCGCGCCUGAUUAGCAGUUGGUGGGGUAAUGGCUCACCAAGGCAACGAUCAGUAUCCGGCCUGAGAGGGCGGACGGACACACUGGGACUGAGACACGGCCCAGACUCCUACGGGAGGCAGCAGUGGGAAUUGUUCGCAAUGGGCGCAAGCCUGACGACGCAACGCCGCGUGGAGGAUG